UACGUAGGGUGCGAGCGUUGUCCGGAAUUAUUGGGCGUAAAGAGCUCGUAGGCGGUGUGUCGCGUCGGCCGUGAAAACCUGCAGCUUAACUGUGGGCGUGCGGUCGAUACGGGCAUCACUGGAGUUCGGCAGGGGAGACUGGAAUUCCUGGUGUAGCGGUAAAAUGCGCAGAUAUCAGGAGGAACACCGGUGGCGAAGGCGGGUCUCUGGGCCGAUACUGACGCUGAGGAGCGAAAGCGUGGGGAGCGAACAGG
rnacentral:rRNA from 1 species